AUCUUUUUAUUUUAGGCUUCGAGAGCGAACUGUUCGUCUUUGCGAAUUUCGUGUGCUUCCUGAUAGAACUGAUUUCUGAAGUCGUGUGGACUGGGGCGAUCGGGGUUCAAGCUCAUUUAUGAUUUGCUGGUUCUUGUCAGAAGAGAUGAUAGAUAAUUGCAACUGCUCCGAGGUAUGAAUGAUCAGGAGAGGCUUGCGAGAUUUUGGCUGUGGACUUCUUGGUGAGUACAGUGGGUCCAUUGAAAGAGCCUCCUCUCAUUACUGCCAAUAUUGUUCUGCAUCAAGGUAUGUAAUAAAAUCUCUUCUAAGGAGUGACUACUCUUACACUAUAGUUUGUGUU